GGAGGAAACUGCAGCACAGAGGAAACCCAUACAAACUCCAUACAGACAGCACCUCAGGUCUGGAUUUAAACUCGGGUCCCCAGCGCUGGGAAAACACUGUGCCACCAUAGAUGCAAAAUCAACUUUUUAUUCACUUGUUCUCUCAGUUAUGUAAUGGAUCCAUAGCCCUGGUCCUGGAAACCUCAAGUCCAAUUAAUCUUCCAAAGCCAUUAAAAGUUAUUAAUUAUCAGGAAGGCGUGUUGGUUAGUGAUGAAUUAAACAAGUAAUCUGUUCCAUUAAGGGAACUCAGGUUUCAGUGAUCAUAGUUAAAUUGUUCCAAGUGUACUGAAAUCUUUUAAGGAUUACACCUGGCCUACAAUGAUGUGCUUGUGAGCCAAUGACUGAAGGUACCCAUGAACCCAGAAGGACUGGGACUGUACAGAUUUAGAGAUCAGCAGGGCUAGGCAUCUACACCUUGUGGGUUGUCUGAUGCAGUCAUCCCAGCCUGCGCCUCGAUCAGCCAGGAAGAGCUGUUUAUUCAGAAAGAAGGGCAGGACAGCUGAGUUAAGGUCUGUUGUCUCCACCUGCGGGACACGGUUCCCUCUAUAAGUUGGGUAUUUCUGACACUCGGGACGGAGCAAUAAAGGUGGAUCUGCGCAGGCGGCUCCAGGAAGCCCUCAGGCAGCACUGGAGAGUGAAGACCAGCAGAGACAGGUUCUCCAGGAGCAGGGCUGGGAAACGCUGCCACCUGGAACAGCUUCCCAAACGCAGUCCUGGAGGGCAGCAGCUCUGCAGCUUUUCACUCCAGCCCGGUUCUUAAUCUAAUUAUUGGCUUAACUGCAACUGUUUCACAAUUUCUCAUCAGGCUCUGCUUCGUUUAAACUGGACUACAAAACCUGCAUGACUCCAGCCCUCCAGUACUGGAGUUCAAAACCUCUGCUGGGUGGCCUGGACUGCUCCACCCCUCCUGAUCGACCCCCAACAACCCCAGGCUCUUGCCCAUAUCCUUCCCUCUUGAGACCAGUGUCUGUUUCUGGAUGCAACAGCAACACUGUGCUGUCAAAAUGACCACGCGUAGGGCCUUCCGAUAGCAACCAGGGGAUGCGGUUUUCAAAUCCCAUCUGGAAAUAUUCAUGACUAAUUUUGAUUAUGGCAAUGUACAGGUUUUCAGAUCAUUUUUACAGUUUUUGUUCAUUUUGCUGUCGUUUCAGGCUGUGCAGCCACUGCGUAAGUCUCUGCAAUUGAGUCAAAGCACGAGAUAUGAGAAAGCAAAGUUGCCAGUACAGUGGCACCAAGAGAUUUCUGUUUUGAAAUGCUGCUCUAAAAAGCGUGUUAGCACAUCCAGUAUUAUCCCAUCAAUUGCAUCAGGCAUAGAAGUGGUACUUUAUUUUCAUGGAACAAGUAAUAGGUUUACUUCCCUGCUGAAAAGAGAAGAAAGAAAACACAACGUUUCGGCCGUGGAGCCUUCUUCAGGUGUCAUUUUUUUUACACACUAGCUUUGCCCUGUACAUUGAAUAGGGAGUGUCAGUUUCUGGGUGGUUACCCAGCACUUGGUCCUUCGCUGUGCAGCUAGCAGGGCUGUCUGUUCCAAGAAGCUGUUAAUAUCAAUUGAAUUCAAACCCGCUGUAGCAACUUAAAAAAGCUUUAUAUAAUCUCAGUGACAUAAUGAAGAUGUUCCCCCACUAAUUAAAUGUAACUGGGAGGCACAGUGGUGCAGUGGUCAGUACUGCUGCCUUGCAGCGCUGGGGCCCUGCAUUCAGUUCUGGGCCUGAUGAGCUGUCUGUGUGGAGUCUGCAUGUUCUCUCCCCGGGUUCAUGAGGGUUUCCUCCUGGUGCUCAGGUUCUCUCACAGUCCACACACUGGUAGGUCAACUGGCCUCUGAGAAAGGGGCCACAGUGUUGCGUGUGCCCUGCCAUGGACUGGUACCCCACCUUGUCUGCCUGGACAGGCCCCGGCUCCCAGAUGACACUGUACUGGGAGAAGCGAUGAGAAAAUGGAUGGAUGGGUAACGCAACGGGAUCCGAGCUCAAAUUAAGAAGUCUGCGCUGGGUUUUCAUUAACUUUAUUUGGUCCCUCCAUCGGCAACCAAUUAACUAUAUAAAAAAGCAAAUAUAGGAGGAACACCUCCAUCUUUCGCGUCUACUUCCGGGUUCCCAAAUUCACCUGCAUCCCAUGUGACCAAACCCCAUAAGUCACAUGACCGCGCGGCGCAGAGACUCGACGUCGCUCGCGAGUCUGGGGAGCUGGUGCCGAGUUUAGAUAAAUCAAAUGUCAACUUUGGAGUUUGGGUUAUCUCUCUAUAACCCUGGACGAAAUACGUAUUGGAUAUGUAGAAAUCGUGUUGCCCACGACAAGCAGGCUCAGAGGACGUUGCCGUGGUGAAGUUCAGGACUGUGAGCAGGGCAGAACCCUCUAGGGUGGGAUGUGGACAGAUCAGAAAUGGGGAAAAGGUCGUUCUGUCAAAAGAAAUUUCCAAUUAAGCCCUCAACCACAGACAAACCACAAAUGACUAUUGGACCUCGCCACACCGUCUCUGCGCAUUGCUUUGAAAUAAAGGUAUCCUUCUGAAUGAGACCCUUCAUUUUGGAAGAUUUCUUCAGUGAGUCUUUUAACACUUACACUGCAGUAAUCAUCUUUGUUCUCAGGCUGAUGUUUGAUACGGUAUGCUGUACUGUAGCUGUGAUUGGAUUCCUUUGAAAAUAAAACUAAGUACAGUUGUGUUUUCACACUGAACUAUAAUAACAUUGUGCAUGGCAACUGUACAAGAAGAUUCGCAGUAGAACUAAGGACAAGAAUCAGGUCCGGAACUGUUUGUUCACAAUAAAGGUUCUUGGUGAUGACAUUUUGUAAUUAAAUGUACAGGGUGUGUCGUUAUGCUGAACUUGAAAUAGCAUACCACUCCACAUGUGUACAUAUCGUGGACAGUUUUCAUUUUUUUCUGCUGUGGUUUUGGGGUAAAUUAUUUACUAUGCAUUUUGUAAAUGUUCUGUCAAAAAGAAAGAUUGCUCUGAAAGGACUUAUAAAGACUGAUGCUAAUCCACAACUGAGAUCAUUGCAACACUGGUAUUCAGACAGCACGAAUCCCCCAAAACUAUCCCUUUCAUUAACAGACCAAGUGGAUCUUAAUUAUUUUGUAAAUCUUGACCUAUUGGCUGAAUUCAAUUUCUUUCUGUUUAGUUGUUAGUGUGGUGAGCUUCAUUUCUUAUUAGUGCAGUACUGAAAUUGAAAUUAAAAUCUCCAUCAUCCAACACACAGCUGUGUCUCAGAACCACCCCCCAUCCAGAAAUAAGUCCCUUUUCUUGGAAACGUUUAACUUCUCCUGCAGUUCACUAAACCCCUCUAACAGUGUUGAAGACAGAAUAGCAGAAGGUCUAUAUAAGCCUAAUAUAGUUAUGUCACUCCAUAAAUAUUUAGAAUAUAUUGAAAACAAGGCUAUCAGACUGGAAUAAAUCCAAGAAAGAGCUGUGUUUGUCAGAAACUUGAACAAAGCUAAGAGAGGUGCCUGCAGGUACUGUUCAUGAAUUUAAUUAGUGUUUUUUUGUCUCUGCAACACAACUGUUCUGUUGUACUGUACAGUGCAGCACAAUUAAUGUUAUUCAUUUCGAAAAGUCACAUGCUGAUUUAAUGAAAAGCUCCAAUGUUUUUGCUUCCUAUAAAAUAAGAUUCACUUAUAUGGAUUUCCAGUCAGAUUCUGUUGAUACCUACAAUUCUACAUAACCUAAGUACAGUACUAUUUAUCCAAGCAGUUAAUAUGUGUAUGUACAGCAUGAUCUAGAUAAAUCCCAUUAAUUCUGUUUCAUUUUCUUAAAUUCACUUUAUUCCUUAAAGCAAAACUUGCGUGUGUUCAUCAGACACUGCCCACGCUUAUAGUUUCUGUCUUCGCUAGGAAUGAGGUUGAGAUGAGACAGCUAAAUCACCCCAUAAAUAUUUAAGCCUAAAGAAGAAGGCAGUUGAGCUGGAAUACAUCCAAUUCAGAAAAUGUAGCUGUCAGGAUGAAGAGUGAACU